UACGUAGGGUGCAAGCGUUGUCCGGAAUUAUUGGGCGUAAAGAGCUCGUAGGCGGUCUGUCGCGUCUGCUGUGAAAUCUCAGGGCUUAACCCUGAGCUUGCAGUGGGUACGGGCAGACUAGAGUCCGGAAGGGGCGAGUGGAAUUCCUGGUGUAGCGGUGAAAUGCGCAGAUAUCAGGAGGAACACCAAUGGCGAAGGCAGCUCGCUGGAACGGUACUGACGCUGAGGCGCGAAAGCGUGGGGAGCGAACAGG
rnacentral:rRNA from 1 species